rnacentral:lncRNA from 1 species
GAAGUUCGAACCCACGUCAUGGUGAAAGGGCUGCAUUCCUCUCUACCACUGUGGUAGAGGGUCACUUACGUAUAAUCAAUUGAGUUAAAUGUUCACAAAAAAUAUGAUAAUCUCAACAAAUAUGAUAAUCUACAAGCCAAAUGAAGCUAUGAAUAAUACUUGCGUUUUUUCUUUAUCGUAAAACUAUUUUAUUUCUGUUUAUGUUUUAUUGCUAUGUAUAGGAGGAUUUUGAAUGUAUCCUAACAUGUAUGGUGGAAUGAAAUUUGAAUUUCUUUAGUACAAGACAGAUCAUAACGGAGCAUAUAAUUUUCCUAACUUUUUGACAAAUUUCGAUAGGCUAAUCUACUCAAAUUUACGAGAUCAAGAGUUCAAAUUUAAAUUAUGAAAGCAACGAACAUUCUACUCUGAUCACGUCAACCCAACGCAUUUCUUUCUCAAACAUUAAUAUACAUACAUGUCUUUUUU